AGUGAACGCUGGCGGUAGGCCUAACACAUGCAAGUCGAACGGCAGCACAGUAAGAGCUUGCUCUUACGGGUGGCGAGUGGCGGACGGGUGAGGAAUACAUCGGAAUCUACUUUUUCGUGGGGAUAACGUAAGGGAACUUACGCCACUACCGCAUACGACCUACGGGUGAAAGCAAUGGAUCUUCGGACCUUGCGCGAAUGAAUGAGCCGAUGUCGUAUUAGCUAGUUGGCGGGGUAAAGGCCCACCAAGGCGACGAUCCGUAGCUGGUCUGAGAGGAUGAUCAGCCACACUGGAACUGAGACACGGUCCAGACUCCUACGGGAGGCAGCAGUGGGGAAUAUUGGACAAUGGGCGCAAGCCUGAUCCAGCCAUACCGCGUGGGUGAAGAAGGCCUUCGGGUUGUAAAGCCCUUUUGUUGGGAAAGAAAAGCAGCAGGUUAAUACCCCGCUGUUCUGACGGUACCCAAAGAAUAAGCACCGGCUAACUUCGUG
rnacentral:rRNA from 1 species